UACGAAGGGAGCAAGCGUUGUUCGGAUUUACUGGGCGUAAAGAGUGCGUAGGCGGUUUGGUAAGUUGGAUGUGAAAGCCCCGGGCUUAACCUGGGAACUGCAUUCAAAACUGCCAGGCUUGAGUGUGGAAGAGGAUGGCGGAAUUCCCGGUGUAGAGGUGAAAUUCGUAGAUAUCGGGAAGAACACCUGUGGCGAAGGCGGCCAUCUGGUCCAUAACUGACGCUGAGGCACGAAAGCGUGGGGAGCAAACAGG
rnacentral:rRNA from 1 species